UGUGAAGAAUAGCUUGACAAAGAAUCAAAAAGUAAUAGAAAAAAAAUGUAAGCACAUGAGAAGCGGGAAGCCUGUUAAACAACCAGAAGGGCCAUUG